rnacentral:hammerhead_ribozyme from 1 species
GUACUGAUGAAGAGUUUGAAACUAGGACGAAACAGCUGUCCAGUAC